GAUGAAGAACGUAGCGAAAUGCGAUACGUAAUGUGAAUUGCAAAUUCAGUGAAUCAUCGAGUCUUUGAACGCACAUUGCGCCCCCUGGCAUUCCGGGGGGCAUGCCUGUCCGAGCGUCAUUGCUGCCCUUCAAGCCCGGCUUGUGUGUUGGGUCGUCGUCCCCCCCGGGGGACGGGCCCGAAAGGCAGCGGCGGCACCGCGUCCGGUCCUCGAGCGUAUGGGGCUUUGUCACCCGCUCGAUUAGGGCCGGCCGGGCGCCAGCCGGCGUCUCCAACCUUUUAUUUUACCAGGUUGACCUCGGAUCAGGUAGGGAUACCCGCUGAACUUAAGCAUAUCAAUAAGCGGAGGA
rnacentral:misc_RNA from 1 species